AAUAAAUUGGGUUGGAUACAUUUGUGAGUACUAAUGUAACAUGUGCCACUGUGUUAUAAAAUCUUGUGCCUUACCUUUUUCCCAUCUUUUUUCUUCUUUUUUUCUCUUUUUAUUUUUAUUUUUUCUCUUUUCCUCCUUUUUCUCUUUUCCUCCUUCCCAAGGUAUUGUCUUGGUUAUAGAAGCUACUUUUGAGGUCAAGUGAAACCAGAAGUUGCUGGGAUGAGUAGCAUUACAAUUGCGAAGUGUUGAGUAUGAGCAGAUUGGCUGACUUUAAAUAUUAUUGUCAAAUGCGAAUUUGGUUUUUGACAGGUAACUUCUCAUUGAACUGCUGGGUUAGUUCUUUUUAGUGAUAAAAAUUUCUGUAAUAAUUCAUCUUCCAUAUGAUAGUGAUACCUUUGGUAAUUUUAAGUAAUUUGAAAUGCUCACGCUUUCUGCUUUGCAGUUUAUGUAUUUUUUUUGCAAUGUAUGAAUAUGAUUGCCAUAGAUUUCGUUUUAAGACAACUUUUUUGGUGGGUUGUGAUAUUGCUAGGGGUGGCAGAUGAUUCCUAGUUUUCUAAACCCAAAUUUCAGGCCAGUGCAGUGUUCAGGUUUCUAGGAACAUAUGGGUUGAAGUACUUAUGCCUCAAGCAUGUGAAUUAUUGUGACCUGUUGUGAAUGUGUAUAACCUGUUAUGAUUUUCCCUGGUUGUUUUUUCAGCCUUCUUCAUUAUACUCAUCUUUAUGCGUGAAUCUCCGUGGUCAAGUGUGUGUGUCCAUCGUGAUUAUUUAAGAAAAGGGUUUCUGCUGAGUGCACAUGGCAAACAUAAUUACGAGAAACUCUGCUGGUCUGUGUUUUUUAGCUUGUUUAGUUGUUUUUUCCCCAUAAAUACAACCGGUUGGACAUCUGAGCUUUGGGAAAAUUGUUUGUUGCUGUGAGAGCAGCUAAUAAUUUCUCAACCUGUAGACAUCUCUUGUAUUUUCUUGUUUCUGACUCCACCUUAAAAAAAAAAAAAGAAGAAGAA
rnacentral:misc_RNA from 1 species